GACUAUCACCCACAAAUCCGAGUUGUAAUUUUCUUGAAAAGUCUCUGCGUUUCGGGAUGAUUUGCUACCUUCCUUGACAUCUAUUUGGUUAUGCUUAUUCGCCUACGCAGACACUUUCGAUUUCAUUUUAUUAAUGAGGAUGCCCUAAUGGAAGAACGGUUUGCCUCAAUUAAGCCGUAUUAGACUCUUCAAGGCAACCCUUGGCUUCAGUUGUCUCAAUCCCUUAAGAAUUCUUUUCAUGGAAAGGAAAAACAGAGGCACUUCAUAGUACUCUCUUUUUCUUUUCCCAUUUGUUGCAACAGAACGAGAACAGAGACACAGACAGCAGGAAGAAAAAAAAGUUACAGAAGAAAGGGGUGAUCGUGAAGUGAGGUGAAGGGAUCUGAGUUGAUGCAUCCACUGAACGAGGACAGAGAAUCAGAGGGCUUGUGCACAUAUCUUCCGGCAAGCAAAGCGGCUUUCAUGACAAGAGAGAGGAUGUCGACGACAUCCUUGACUUAUGCAUUUGCUUCCUUUAAGCGUUCGCACUCUGGAGUUCUUGACGUUGGCCAUGCAGCUCAGUGAGUUUUCGCUGCGCUCCUGGCUCAGAUAGUCAUAUGCACAAGCCCCACCAGGGGGCCAACGACUAGUCAUAUCAAGCGAUUUGAUGAAGAAUAAGCUGGAUACAUUGAUGUCGAAACUCACUGUUUUGGCUCGAACCAAGGAGUCAUGCUUCAUGCAGCAAACAUCGAGGUGACAGAGUCUCUCCUCCAAAAGGAAAAUUGUCCAAUCAAUCCUAAAGAUUCCAAUUUACUCCUAAAUUUUUCAUUUUUGCUGAUUUAAUCUUGAGCAUUUGCAUAAAAUUUCAAUGUAAUCAUUCUAACCAAUUUUCGCCAAAAAUUAUAACUUUGAUGAUACGAUAUACUGGAUAACCAACAAGGAAGGGACCGACAUUAAAUAAAUUAAAAAUCAAGAAUAA